UACGAAGGGGGCUAGCGUUGCUCGGAAUUACUGGGCGUAAAGGGCGCGUAGGCGGAUGUUUAAGUCGGGGGUGAAAGCCCGGGGCUCAACCUCGGAAUUGCCUUCGAUACUGGACAUCUUGAGUUCGGGAGAGGUGAGUGGAACUGCGAGUGUAGAGGUGAAAUUCGUAGAUAUUCGCAAGAACACCAGGUGGCGAAGGCGG
rnacentral:rRNA from 1 species